GACGAACGCUGGCGGCGUGCUUAACACAUGCAAGUCGAACGGAAAGGCCCUGCUUGCAGGGUACUCGAGUGGCGAACGGGUGAGUAACACGUGGGUGAUCUGCCCUGCACUUCGGGAUAAGCCUGGGAAACUGGGUCUAAUACCGGAUAGGAGCCAUUUUUAGUGUGAUGGUUGGAAAGUUUUUUCGGUGUAGGAUGAGCUCGCGGCCUAUCAGCUUGUUGGUGGGGUAAUGGCCUACCAAGGCGGCGACGGGUAGCCGGCCUGAGAGGGUGGACGGCCACAUUGGGACUGAGAUACGGCCCAGACACCGACGGGAGGCAGCAGUGGGGAAUAUUGCACAAUGGGCGCAAGCCUGAUGCAGCGACGCCGCGUGGGGGAUGACGGCCUUCGGGUUGUAAACUCCUUUCGCUAGGGACGAAGCUUUUUGUGACGGUACCUAGAUAAGAAGCACCGGCUAACUACGUG
rnacentral:rRNA from 1 species